rnacentral:rRNA from 1 species
UUCCGGUUGAUCCUGCCGGAGGUCAUUGCUAUCGGAGUCCGAUUUAGCCAUGCUAGUCGCGCGAGUUUAGACUCGCGGCACCGAGCUCAGUAACACGUGGCCAAACUACCCUACAGAUACGGAUACCCUCGGGAAACUGAGGUUAACCCGUCAUACCGAUCUCAGGCUUGAAUCGCAGAGAUCACUAAACGCCCCGGCGCUGUAGGAUGUGGCUGCGGUUGAUUAGGUAGACGGUGGGGUAACGGCCCACCGUGCCCAUAAUCAGUACAGGUUGUGAGAGCAAGAACCUGGAGACGGAAUCUGAGACAAGAUUCCGGGCCCUACGGGGCGCAGCUGGCGCGAAACCUUUACACUGCACGACGUGCGAUAA